rnacentral:misc_RNA from 1 species
GUUUCAACACGAUUAAUCACUAUCUAAACAAGUAUGGCUGCUGCUUGAGAAGAGUCAAGAUUAUUAUUUAUAUUAUGGUUGAAUUAGGAAUGGUUUGUUCUACUGAUGUCAAUAUUAAAUAUGACACUGGCAGAUUAGAAUGGCUGCCCUGUGGCUCCAAUUUUGACAGCAUUAAUGUGUAGGUACUGUUCAGGAAUUUGAAGUCAAGAUAACAAAAAUGUCCUUUGAGAGCUGUUCUAAGAAGCGUUCAUUAGAGGAUGAUAUUGACCAAAAGUCAAAACCAGCCAUUGAUGAUUUUUGCAGGAAAAAGUUCAAGCCAAUUGCUCCAAAACCCACCCUGAAAAAAGACCAACACCAAGCGGUAGUUUUAACAACUCUUCCUGUUAAAAGUUCUUAUCUUGAAGAUAAUGACAGCUGCAAGAUGAAAUGUAUUGCAACAUCUGAAUCUGAAAAACAGAUGGUUCUUAUGUCACCACCACACAUGCAUGUAAUGUCAAAUCUUCCAGUCAUGUUACAUACUCCAACAUUGGUUGCCAUGAACAGUUGCAGUCCGAUGCCUGUUCUUGCAAACUAUUCAUUUGUUAUUCCUGUUGGAUGUGGACAUUGUAACUGCGGGAAGUCGACACCACAGCAAGUUACUGCGCAGGUUCUUUGCACAAGCUCACCUAAAAACUCUUGCUCACAAUGUGUUGAUGAGCAUUGUUGUAAUAAAAAUUUAGAGAAAGACAGAUGCAAAUCAUGUGACAGUAACUCUGGUGAAAGAUUUAUUUCUUCUUCCAGUAAGAAAUCAUCAGAAAAUGCAGUAAACUGUUGCAGUAAGAAAGAAAAAUCUGCUCAAGUACCUAUUCUACCAUUAAAUGCAAGUCUUCCAUCCAACUUAAAUGAGAUUUUAAAACUCAGACCAGAGAAAUAUAAAUACAGUAUGUUGCUGAAUAAUCCAGGAACAUAUAAUCAAUUUGCUGAAAAGACUUCGAGGCAAACUAACAACAUUCAGUUGAACAGUCAGUUUCCACCUGCUACCACAAGUUGUGGAUUUUCAUUGACUACCCACCAGACACCAUCCCCCAUCAACGUCGUGUCAUGUUCAUUAACAGGACCUACUAAACAUACACAGAAAAAUUCACAGGAAUCAAACAGUAGUACACAUUCCAGGAGCUUAGUUCUUCCGACUACUACUCCGUCCUCCCAAAGAACAUUGGUGCCCUCGCAUAUUUCUGUAGUUUCAUCAGCCAAUACUUGUCCUAAUUCCACCAAAGAACUUAUUCAUCAAUCUCACCAAAGGUUUAUAAAUUCUAGAGCAGUAGAACCAAUCAUCAAUUCUAGAACUACAAAUUUAGUAUCCCCUAUGUCAGUUGAAAAAGACAAUCAAAGUGAAGGCAAUAGAAGAAUACUUAAUCCAUUGGAUUCACACAAUUCUCAAAGAAUAUCAUACACUGAUAAUUCUAGAUAUAUUUCUUUUGAUAGAAACACAACAAUGAUACCUUCAAAUAAUAGUAGCUCAACAGAAUCGUCAUCAGCAUCUGUCAGUCAUUCUGGAUUGUCUUCUGUUGUGGUAAACACAAGAAAAAAUUGCAGUAAAACUAGAAAAAAUAUGAACUCUGAACAAAGACCAUUAUCCAAAGAUGCUGCAACACGGGCUGAAAAUAGGAAAAACACAUCUCUAUCAGUUGAAUCUGUGUCUGUGUCAUCGAGAACAACUUCACAAGCUCAAACUCUGCUUCUGAAUGAAAAUGCAAAUGUACCAGUACUGCAACAGUCAAAAAAGUCCACUACUAGAACUAUACAAUCUUCAGUUAUGGAUAACUCAAAUUCCAGGUUGACAGCAACAUGUCAAAGAUCAAAAGGUAGCCAUGCUAAUCUUCCACUUCAAACUCCUGAACGUUUGCACCAUCAACUGCAGCAUAACUCAAGAAAAGCCUGUGAAAUUAGGCCUGUAGCUCAUCAAAUGUCUAUGCUUCAAAAGAACAGUGUUGCACCUAAAACGUCUCAGUGCAGUAGGAUGUGUAAUGUUCCAUCACAACCAUCAAUUAAUUCUCUCAACCAACCAUCUGUUGUACCACUGACUGAAAAUGGAAUAAGUAGAGGUCACAUUCCAUUCCAUAACACUGCUGUCAUCACAUCUAAUACUUUGUCAAAUGUAACACAUACAACCAAUUUAGUUAGUGAACGACGUCAUGUGGCAAGUACGGUGACAAGUUCAGCGAUUGUUUCUCAAAGCAGACAGACUGAAAACACAGUCGGCAGAGAAGUUCCUAGUGCAAACUUUCAAGCAAGGUCUCAUAAUGUUAAUACCUCAUCUGAAAAAGAAAAGUCAGAUUCUACUGUGCCAAGUAGACGUAGGUCAGAAGAAAGAAAUGAGAUAAGGACCAGUGGACCUGUCACUAAGCAGGCAAUUAGUAAUUUGCCAGAAAGAUCAAGUCAAGCUGGAACAGCUCAGAGUUUACAUAAGCAAAAUCUAUCUUGCCAGCAUAGCAAUAUUGGGCCAACAGAAAGAGGAGCUAGGGCAUUUUCAAAUGAACCUCAAAGAGAGCAGAAUGAAAGAGAUUCAUCUUCUAUACGGUCAAGAAGAGAGUGGCAUCAAAUGAUUCCACAAAUACAUGCCAGUGAUGCACCAAGAGUUGCAACUAGCUGUCAUAGGGAUGCCUCAGCAAACAUUCAUCAGAAUAGUGAUUCGAGGACAGCAUCAUCAUGGACACAUUUUACUAGACAUCAAAAUCACAUGAGCCGAGAUCAACCUCCUAGUGAAGCCAUACAGCAGACAUCUAAUCUUCCAAGCGAGAUUGUGUCAAGGCAAUCUGUUGUCGAUUCUGAUGCAGUACUUCCAUCAACUGUACAGUCAGACUCAAGGGUAAUACAGACAGUUCCUUUGAUUAGCAAUGUACCUGCACCAUCAAGACAUCCAUCUAAUAGUGCAAUAUCAAGAAAACAAAGACAGCGAUGUUGUGUAUCAAGGCAGGAUUCAAAUAUAUUGUCAAGUGAAACAUUACUAACUUUUCAACAUGGUCCAGUAGAACACAAUCAAUCACUAAGCACAUCGUGCAGCUCAUCAGGAGCACAUAAAACACCUAACCGAGUUGCUGCUGUUAGGGAGCAAAACAUGGUCACUCCUCUGGUAGAUGAAAGACUUGCGCACAAUAUCUUGGAACACAGACAUUCGCAGGGCUCAGAACACCGAUUGAGUCAAGCUUCUGUUACAGACCACACCUUUCCACAUCAAUCUCAUAACCCUGUUGCUCGACCUAUGUUAUACAAUUUUCCACAUAUGCUCAACAGCCAAAGUGAUGCUCAACAUAGGUUAUCAAUUCCAGGAGGAAUUGGUCGGCAUUCUCUUACAAAUCACCAUAUGAAUCAUCUACAGGAAUGCAAUUUGUCUACAUCCCCACACAGCAAUCAACAUACACCUCUUCAUCAAUCAAGUUCUAGACAUCUGUUGGUACCACCUCCUCCAUUUGGUCCUAUGCAUCGUUCUAUGUUCAUGACUCCUAGCCCUCAUCCACCUGAUGUAAACUUGAUGUCGCCUAGAAGUUUUUCAAGCACACACAUGCAUGAUGACUUGCUGUACAGUCCUAAUAUUCCAAGACUUCCUUCAAAUCCUGGUUAUCCAGACCGACUUCACACAUCUUAUCCUGUACAUUAUCUUCCAGAAGAUCGUAUUGAUUCUUGUUGCAGUGGAAGCCUCAGAACAUCACAUUCUCCAACCACAAACAAUUUUUCAUCACCUUGGAUUUUAUCAUCUCCUUCAAGAACUCCAGCUCCAUCUUUUCUUCCAUCAUUUCCAAGACACAAUAGCUUAAAUAGUCUUCCAUCAUCACAAGAUCUCUAUGGUUUUGGCAGCUCUGUUAAUAUGAGUAACCUUGCAACACAGCACCACAUGCCUGGCUGCCUUUCAGAAAUAAAUGCCCAGCAUCAUGUUGAACCUCUACAGAUACAGACAGAUAUCAAUUCCCAAGCUGAAAGAGAUGCCACUGGAUCAUCACAACUAUCUCCAAUUGUUACGCCACCACCAGCUUCGGAGACAUUAAGCAGGAAACCACUUAGAAAUAACUCAUCUGAACCAUCAAUGAGUCUUCCUUUACGCAACUCAGCUUCUGAGUGUAUUGCAAGUCAUCCUGUGCAAAGGAACCUGAUGGAAAAUUCUGUAAAUCAAAUUCUUACCAGGAACUCGUUAGGUGAAAACCAGAUUAGUCGACAGUCAAGACAAUCAAUAAGAAGCACCUCUUCAGAGACUCCUGGUCAGCAACCACCAUCCAGGAGGACUUCAUCGGAACAAUGUAUUUCCCAAACUCCAAUUACAACUUCCACAUCGAAUACUCAAAGAAACACAACAUUACACAAUUCGUCAUCAUUGCUAACUGCUGCAACGUCGGGUAACAAUAGUGGAAGGAGAACAACCACUGUACAAAACUCAGUUCAACAACAACCAAAUGGUUCCCUGGCACAACAGCCGAAUCAAACAACCUCAGUAUCUGACACUGCCUCUCAGAUCAUGACACCAUCACCAUCCCCACAAAGGACGAACAAUAAAUAUUUACCAAUUGAUGAAAUUUGUAGCAACCCUUCAACCUCGCUGGCAUCAUUAGUGGCACCAAGUCCUACACAGAGCUUGUCAGAUCAACCUGUCAAAUUCAAUGGUGUCACCCUUCAGUGUAGUCGGCAGAUUCUCUGUGAGUCAGGAAGGACUGUAUUAUGUUGUUGGCAUUGUGAUUUCCACACAGCAGAACCCAAAAAGAUGCAUCGACAUCAACGAAGGGAAGAAAAACAGAUGCGGUGUCAGCUUUGUAGCUUCACAAGCAACUCAAGAUGCAAAGUUGAUCAACACUUCAAAGAUAAUCACUUGGACAAAGAUGAUCCUUUUACAUCAGCAGUAUCUUAACCAUCACAUCAUGAUGUUUGUUUUAUGGAUAUGAGUGAAUCACAGAAAAAUAAUAUCCCUAUACACUGUUCAAGAAAGGGCUGAGCACACAAAGUACAACAGAUUACAAAAACUAUUUCUAUGGUACUAAAUUUGCAGAUAGACUGACAUACUGUCAAAUGCCACCUAUCAAGUUGAAUGGUUUCGCUUUUCUUUCAACCAAGUUGAUAGCCAAUUUAAAAAAAAAACCUUUUUUUAGGAUUUGAAGUGUUAAUCUCCUGAAAAUUGUAAGUUGAUGAUGAUCUGGUUAAAUAAAUUUAGAUAUUUGAUAACCUA